rnacentral:rRNA from 1 species
UACGUAGGCAGCGAGCGUUGUUCGGAAUUACUGGGCGUAAAGAGUGUGUAGGCGGUGCUCUAAGUUCGGUGUGAAAUCUCCUGCUUAACUGGGAGGGUGCGCCGGAAACUGGAGUGCUCGAACGUGGGAGAGGAAAGCGGAAUUCCUGGUGUAGCGGUGAAAUGCGUAGAUAUCAGGAGGAACACCUGCGGUGUAGACGGCUUUCUGGACCAUUGUUGACGCUGAGGUGCGAAAGCGUGGGGAGCAAACAGG